rnacentral:rRNA from 1 species
CUCAACUCCGGAACUGCCACUGAAACUGAUAGACUAGAGGCUGGAAGAGGCAAGUGGAAUUGCUGGUGUAGGGGUAAAAUCCGUUGAUAUCAGCAGGAGCACCAAAUGCGAAGGCAACUUGCUGGGACAGUUCUGACACUGUUGCACGAAAGCGUGGGGAGCAAAGAGGAUUAGAUACCCUCGUAGUCCACGCUGUAAACGAUGGUCACUAGACAUUGGGAGUAUCGACCCUCUCAGUGUCGUUUAAAAUAGCUAACGCGUUAAGUGACCCGCCUGAGGAGUACGACCGCAAGGUUAAAACUCAAAGGAAUUGACGGGGACCUGCACAAGCGGUGGAUCAUGUGGUUUAAUUCGAUAAUACGCGAGAAACCUUACCAGGGUUUGACAUCCCUAGAAUCUUGGGUAAUGCCAAGAGUGCUUUUGAACUA